GAUGAACGCUGGCGGCGUGCCUAAUACAUGCAAGUCGAGCGAACGGACGAGAAGCUUGCUUCUCUGAUGUUAGCGGCGGACGGGUGAGUAACACGUGGAUAACCUACCUAUAAGACUGGGAUAACUUCGGGAAACCGGAGCUAAUACCGGAUAAUAUUUUGAACCGCAUGGUUCAAAAGUGAAAGACGGUCUUGCUGUCACUUAUAGAUGGAUCCGCGCUGCAUUAGCUAGUUGGUAAGGUAACGGCUUACCAAGGCAACGAUGCAUAGCCGAACUGAGAGGGUGAUCGGCCACACUGGAACUGAGACACGGUCCAGACUCCUACGGGAGGCAGCAGUAGGGAAUCUUACGCAAUGGGCGAAAGCCUGACGGAGCAAAGCCGCGUGAGUGAUGAAGGUCUUCGGAUCGUAAAACUCUGUUAUUAGGGAAGAACAUAUGUGUAAGUAACUGUGCACAUCUUGACGGUACCUAAUCAGAAAGCCACGGCUAACUACGUG
rnacentral:rRNA from 1 species